AUACAUGCCAUCAUAUGCCAGACGUGCAAUGCCCCUCUGCUAUGUACAUCGGCCAUACAGGACAGUCGCUACGGAAAAGGCUAAACGGAUACAAAUCAGAUAUUAGGAAUGGCAAUUAUAUAAAAACCUGUAGAAGAACACUUCAACCUUCCUGGCCAC